GCCCACUUGAGGAGGAAGUCUGCCCGUUCUCAGAUCUCCAGCUGCAUGCUGGGAGAACCACUGCUCUCUUCCAAGCUGUCAGACAGGGACAUUUAAGUCUGCAGAGGUUACUGCUGUCUUUUUGUUUGUCUGUGCCCUGCCCCCAGAGGUGGAGCCUACAGAGGCAGGCAGGCCUCCUUGAGCUGUGGCGGGCUCCACCCAGUUCGAGCUUCCCGGCUGCUUUGUUUACCUAAGCAAGCCUGGGCAAUGGCGGGCGCCCCUCCCCCAGCCUCGCUGCCGCCUUGCAGUGUGAUCUCAGACUGCUGUGCUAGCAAUCAGCGAGACACCGUGGGCGUAGGACCCUCUGAGCCAGGUGUGGGAUAUAAUCUUGUGGUGCGCCGUUUUUAAAGCCGGUCUGAAAAGCGCAAUAUUCGGGUGGGAGUGACCCGAUUUUCCAGAGCCUUUCUGACUGUAUUCUCCUAACUUUUAAACCAUUGAGUAAUUAACACUGCAAUGAUGAACAGACACCAGUGACUGAACCUGACAAAGAUUUAUUUGCCACAAAUGAAAAGUCUACUGAGAUUGGCCAGCCUUCCUCCACAUCAGAUGAAAUUGCGUCAUCUGAAACACUGGCCAUCAUGUUUAUAUGCUGCCAAAGCACCACUGUCUACUAAGUUUUUGAGGAAACCAUAUUGCUAGAGAAACUGCAAGCCUGAGCAGCCUCCAAUUGUUGAAGACUUACAUCCAUCUUGGACCUCCAAACAUUCAUAAGCAGGAAGCAGGCCUCAAAAACUAUGGCCCCCAAAUGAGGGCUUGUUCCCCAACCCCCACUUUAGACAUGGAGAAGAAGAAUAAUGGACAAGGAGGCUCCUCCCAGAAGGAUCCAAGGACCCCUGAGGUUGGUGGACAAUGGACUUCCAGCACAGAUUGGAAUCAGAACACAAUCAAGGACACUGUCUCUCCAAUAGAAACUCUUCCUAUGUCUGCCCAGAGUAAUUCCUUAACUGUGAUGGACAAAGAGCUGUGGCAUCAUUGCUUUCCAUUUUUUGAAUGAAAGUUAUGGUGCAGUAAUCCUUUCCCUGCUCCAGCAGGUGAGGGGGUGGCAGAGAGGGGCCAAUAAUUUGUCAUUUUGUUCCUAGAUUGCCAGACCAAGAGGAGCUAUGUCUUGGUCUGCAAAAAAGAACCAGACAUUGCCACAAAUCCUGGGCUUGAGCUGAAUGCAGGGACUGGUGGGUUUCUCUGUUGUGUCCCUUGGAGAGGGAGUGAAGACUUCUUAUGCAGUGCCUCUCAACAUAUUCUAACCUUCCUGCCUGCUAGGCUUGCCAUGUGUUGUGUUCCAGACAGUAAAAUUUAAGCAGAAGUUCUGACUUUCUUACUGCUGGGCUAAGGUAGUUACGUACUAGUGUACUAGUGUGUCUCCCCACAAUGAACCUCCCACCUUCUUCCCACAAAGCCCAAGGGAUAAAAUUCAGGGCAAAUUAGAAUCCAAAAGAAGGAGCCACAAAGUGGAAGAAACCUGGAUGCCUGAGUCACUAUGUGGGGAAAACACCAACUAAAAAGCUUUAUGUGAUCCACAUUUGAUAUGAGUGAGAAAUAAAUUUUUGAUUGUUUUAGGCCAUU
rnacentral:lncRNA from 1 species